rnacentral:rRNA from 1 species
AACGAACGCUGGCGGCAUGCCUAACACAUGCAAGUCGAACGAGAACUUCGGGUCUAGGGGCGCCUGGCUGCGUCACGCGUGGGAACCGGCCCUUAGGUUCGGAAUAACUCCCCGAAAGGGGUGAUAAUACCGGAUAGUGUCUUCGGACCAAAGAUUUAUCGCAGUUGGAGGGGCCAGCGUUGGUUUAGGUAGUUGGUAGGGUAAAAGACUACCAAGGCGAGGAUCCAUAACUGGGCUGAGAGGAGGAUUCGCCACACUGGGACUGAGACACGGCCCAGACUCUUCCGGGAGGCAGGAGUGGGGAAUAGUGGACAAUCGGCGAAAUGCUGAUCCAGCUAUGCCGCGUGAGUGAUGAAGUCCUUAGGGUUGUAAAGCUCUUUUACCCGUGAUGAUAAUGACAGUACCGAAAGAAUAAGCCCCGGCUAACUCCGUG